CAGCAGCCACGGGAAUACGUAGGGUGCAAGCGUUAAUCGGAAUUACUGGGCGUAAAGCGUGCGCAGGCGGUUUUGUAAGACAGAGGUGAAAUCCCCGGGCUCAACCUGGGAACUGCCUUUGUGACUGCAAGGCUAGAGUACGGCAGAGGGGGAUGGAAUUCCGCGUGUAGCAGUGAAAUGCGUAGAUAUGCGGAGGAACACCGAUGGCGAAGGCAAUCCCCUGGGCCUGUACUGACGCUCAUGCACGAAAGCGUGGGGAGCAAACAGGAUUAGAUACCCCUGUAGUCCCUGUCUCUUAUAA
rnacentral:rRNA from 1 species